rnacentral:rRNA from 1 species
AUUGAACGCUGGCGGCAUGCUUUACACAUGCAAGUCGAACGGCAGCGCGGGCUUCGGCCUGGCGGCGAGUGGCGAACGGGCGAGUAAUGCAUCGGAACGUGCCCAGUAGUGGGGGAUAGCCCGGCGAAAGCCGGAUUAAUACCGCAUACGACCUGAGGGUGAAAGCGGGGGGCCGAAAGGCCUCGCGCUAUUGGAGCGGCCGAUGUCGGAUUGGCUAGUUGGUGGGGUAAAGGCUUACCAAGGCGACGAUCCGUAGCUGGUCUGAGAGGACGACCAGCCACACUGGGACUGAGACACGGCCCAGACUCCUACGGGAGGCAGCAGUGGGGAAUUUUGGACAAUGGGGGCAACCCUGAUCCAGCCAUGCCGCGUGCGGGAAGAAGGCCUUCGGGUUGUAAACCGCUUUUGUUCGGGAAGAAAUCCUCUGGGCUAAUACCCCGGGGGGAUGACGGUACCGGAAGAAUAAACACCGGCUAACUACGU